CUGGCGGCAUGCCUAACACAUGCAAGUCGAACGGAACUUGUUGAAUGAAGUUUUCGGAUGGAUUUUAGCAAGUUUAGUGGCGGACGGGUGAGUAACGCGUGAGCAACCUGCCUUUCAGAGGGGGACAACAGUUGGAAACGACUGCUAAUACCGCAUAACGUAUCGAAGAGGCAUCUCUUUGAUACCAAAGAUUAUAUCGCUGAAAGAUGGGCUCGCGUACGAUUAGAUAGUUGGUGGGGUAACGGCCCACCAAGUCGACGAUUGGUAGCCGGACUGAGAGGUUGAUCGGCCACAUUGGGACUGAGACACGGCCCAGACUCCUACGGGAGGCAGCAGUGGGGGAUAUUGCACAAUGGGCGAAAGCCUGAUGCAGCGACGCCGCGUGAGGGAAGACGGUUUUCGGAUUGUAAACCUCUGUCUUCGGUGACGAAAAUGACGGUAGCCGAGGAGGAAGCCACGGCUAACUACGUG
rnacentral:rRNA from 1 species